UACGGAGGGUGCAAGCGUUAUCCGGAUUUACUGGGUUUAAAGGGUGCGUAGGUGGGUAAGUAAGUCAGUGGUGAAAUCUUCGAGCUUAACUCGGAAACUGCCAUUGAUACUAUUUAUCUUGAAUACUUUGGAGGUAAGCGGAAUAUGUCAUGUAACGGUGAAAUGCUUAGAUAUGACAUAGAACACCAAUUGCGAAGGCAGCUUACUACACAGUUAUUGACACUGAGGCACGAAAGCGUGGGGAUCAAACAGG
rnacentral:rRNA from 1 species